rnacentral:rRNA from 1 species
ACGAACGCUGGCGGCAUGGAUUAGGCAUGCAAGUCGAACGGUUGGUAGGGGCAACUCUAUCAAUAGUGGCGCAAGGGUGAGGAACACGUGAGUAACUUGCCCUCAAGUUGGGAAUAGCUCCGGGAAACUGGGAUUAAUACCGAAUGUGGUCAAACUUCCGCAUGGUUGUUUGACUAAAGGCGAAAGCCGCUUGAGGAGAGGCUCGCGUCCCAUUAGUUAGUUGGCGGGGUAACGGCCCACCAAGACAAAGAUGGGUAGCUGGUCUGAGAGGACGACCAGCCACACUGGGACUGAGACACUGCCCAGACUCCUACGGGAGGCUGCAGUCGAGAAUUUUAGGCAAUGGGCGAAAGCCUGACCUAGCAAUGCCGCGUGCGGGAUGAAGGUCUUCGGAUUGUAAACCGCUGUCACUGGGGACGAAAUUUGACGGUACCCAGAGAGGAAGCCACGGCUAACUACGU